GACGAAGGGGGCUAGCGUUGCUCGGAAUCACUGGGCGUAAAGCGCACGUAGGCGGCUUUCUAAGUCAGGGGUGAAAUCCUGGAGCUCAACUCCAGAACUGCCUUUGAUACUGGAGAGCUUGGGUCCGGGAGAGGUGAGUGGAACUCCGAGUGUAGAGGUGAAAUUCGUAGAUAUUCGGAAGAACACCAGUGGCGAAGGCGGCUCACUGGCCCGGUACUGACGCUGAGGUGCGAAAGCGUGGGGAGCAAACAGG
rnacentral:rRNA from 1 species